CGGAGAGGGCGCAUGCUAUUACGGCUACCACAUCCAAGGAAGGCAGCAGGCGCGCAAAUUACCCAAUCCCGACACGGGGAGGUAGUGACAAUAUGUAGCAAUAUACGGCUUUAUUGUCGUAUAAUUGGAAUGAGUACAAUUUAAAUCCCUUAACGAGGAACAAUUGGAGGGCAAGUCUGGUGCCAGCAGCCGCGGUAAUUCCAGCUCCAAUAGCGUAUAUUAAAGUUGUUGCAGUUAAAAAGCUCGUAGUUGGACCUUGGGCCUGGACAGGCGGUCCGCCUCACGGCGUGUACUGUCUUGCUGGGCCUUUCCUCUUGGUGAUCUGUGGUUUCGGCCGCAGGGAACCAGGACCUUUACUUUGAAAAAAUUAGAGUGUUCAAAGCAGGCUUUACGCCAGAAUAUAUUAGCAUGGAAUAAUAAAAUAGGACGUGCGGUUCUAUUUUGUUGGUUUUUGGGAUCGCCGUAAUGAUUAAUAGGGACAGUCGGGGGCAUUAGUACUCAC
rnacentral:rRNA from 1 species